rnacentral:rRNA from 1 species
ACGAACGCUGGCGGCGUGCUUAACACAUGCAAGUCGUACGGAAAGGCCCUGCUUUUGUGGGGUGCUCGAGUGGCGAACGGGUGAGUAACACGUGAGUAACCUGCCCUUGACUUUGGGAUAACUUCAGGAAACUGGGGCUAAUACCGGAUAGGAGCUCCUGCUGCAUGGUGGGGGUUGGAAAGUUUCGGCGGUUGGGGAUGGACUCGCGGCUUAUCAGCUUGUUGGUGGGGUAGUGGCUUACCAAGGCUUUGACGGGUAGCCGGCCUGAGAGGGUGACCGGCCACAUUGGGACUGAGAUACGGCCCAGACUCCUACGGGAGGCAGCAGUGGGGAAUAUUGCACAAUGGGCGGAAGCCUGAUGCAGCAACGCCGCGUGCGGGAUGACGGCCUUCGGGUUGUAAACCGCUUUCGCCUGUGACGAAGCGUGAGUGACGGUAAUGGGUAAAGAAGCACCGGCUAACUACGUG